GACGAACGCUGGCGGCGUGCUUAACACAUGCAAGUCGAGCGAAGCGGCGGACGGGUGAGUAACACGUGAGUAACCUGCCUUAGACCUUGGGAUAGCCUCGGGAAACCGGGAUUAAUACCAAAUGGUCUAAGAUGGACUCGCGUCCCAUUAGCUCGUUGGUGAGGUAACGGCCCACCAAGGCGACGAUGGGUACACGGGCUGGGAGGGUGAACGGCGACAUUGGAACGGGGAAACGGUCCAAACUCUACGGGAGGCAGCAGUGGGGAAUAUUGCACAAUGGAGGGAACUCUGAUGCAGCUACGCGGCGUAAGCGAAGAAGGCUGUCGAGACGUAAAGUUCUUUUAUAUGGGAAGCGGUACCAUAAGAAAAAGCCCCGGCUAACUACGUGCCAGCAGCCGCGGUAAUAC
rnacentral:rRNA from 1 species